rnacentral:lncRNA from 1 species
ACAAAAAUUAACGUCUGUUUUUAUAUAUGGAAGCGAUAAAACCAAGUACAAGUAAUGCCAGUGAUUUCAACAAACAAAAACAGAAGAGUUCAUGAUAGUAUAACAAAACACUCAUCAUCCCUGCUGGCUCAUCUCUGCACCGGACCAUUGGAACCAGCACUGAUAGGCAACAAGGCAUCGCUACCGGUAGCAAAACUAAACUAGCAUGGACAUGGGACGCUUUGGAAAUUAGUAAUUGAAUUACAGUUUGUUUAUUUUUUUAAUCUGUACACAUUAACUUGUGGCUUCUGAUGAGAUAUAAAAUUUUCUAGUUGAUUCUUUUGAUUAGAAGCUGUCUAGAUGCCAAAUAUUUGAUCAAGUUUCAGAUAUGAGGAUAGAGAGGGGAAAAAAUGCAAGAAAACUUUACCGUGACGCAUGAGGUGGUUGGUUACAGACUAGCAAAGAUGAGUAUUCUGUAGUAUGUAUAACACUGAUAUAUCCGGAUGAGGGCCAAGACAUUGUUGUCAAUUUCUACGGGAUGCAAAAACAUUUUUGUACAGGUAGUUUAAAUAUUUAUGUCAAAAACAUGAAGUUAAAAAAUCUUUACCUCCACAAUUAUCCUAACAAUGACAAACUCUGCAGUUAAAAAAAAAAAGAAAUGAAUCGCCAGCAUAUGGCUUCUGGUGCAGGGUUGGCAGUUUGGGCCGGAGACCUUGCAACAAAGCAUGCUUACACAGAUUUUUCCGUUUGAUGCUAAACUGUACCAACCAAUUUGCUCCCACACUUUGGGAAUGAUAAUAUAUUAUCAGUCAUGAGGGCCGGAAGACCCCUACCACACGCAGAAUAAAAAUACCCC